rnacentral:rRNA from 1 species
GGAGCAUGCGGCUUAAUUCGACGCAACGCGAAGAACCUUACCAAGGCUUGACAUAUACAGGAAUAUGGCAGAGAUGUCAUAGCCGCAAGGUCUGUAUACAGGUGGUGCAUGGUUGUCGUCAGCUCGUGUCGUGAGAUGUUGGGUUAAGUCCCGCAACGAGCGCAACCCUCGUUCUGUGUUGCCAGCAUUUAGUUGGGGACUCACAGGAGACUGCCGGGGUUAACUCGGAGGAAGGUGGGGAUGACGUCAAAUCAUCAUGCCCCUUAUGUCUUGGGCUGCACGCAUGCUACAAUGGCUGGUACAAACGGCUGCAAUACCGCAAGGUGGAGCGAAUCCGAGAAAGCCAGUCUCAGUUCGGAUUGGGGUCUGCAACUCGACCCCAUGAAGUCGGAGUUGCUAGUAAUCGUAGAUCAGCAACGCUACGGUGAAUACGUUCCCGGGGCUUGUACACACCGCCCGUCACGUCACGAAAGUC